rnacentral:rRNA from 1 species
AUGCAUGGGCGCCGUCGCUCGCCGCGCCGAGAGCAUCGACGCCGUGUCGAAAGCGUCGGCGAACGCCGACAUGGGCAGAGACAGCUCGAGGCAGCCAGGGUCGAGGCCGAAGGAAAUCUUGCAUAUGCAGUCGAAAGCGAAGCGGCGGAACACGUCCUGCAGGUCGAGCAGCUUCUCCCCGCCACCCUGUCCAGCAGUGGCAGAGUGGAGCAGAGGAAUGAGGCGGCACCUCAGCUCGGAAGCCACGACGCUGGCCGUGAACGCGCGGAUCGCCGGGGACGCGAGCUCGGCGGCGGCGAGCUUGCGCUGGAAGAGCCAGGAGUCGCCGUCGACGUUGAAUAUGCCACGGCCGAGGAAGUCGGCGAGGAUGGCGGAGAAGGGCGCGCCCUUGGGGUAGUUCUCGAACCGGCCGCGCAGCAUGUGCUCGACGGUGGCCGGGUUGGCGGUGAGCACGUUGCCGAGGACGUGCACGUGCACGGUCCGCCCGGGCUCGCGGCGCAGCAGGUGGGCGAACCAGUCGCAGAGGUUGUCGAACUCGCCCGUCCACGAUGCCGUCAGGUACGCCUCGCACACCGCGCACGCGCACCACCACGGCGGCCGCAGCCGCAUGGAGCCCAGGAGCACGGCGAGGGCCAGCGUGCACACGGCCGAGGCGAAGAAGACGGCGGCCACCGGGCUCGCCAGGGCGUGCGCCGCGACGUGACACGUGGUCGAAUCCGCGCCCGCGCCCGCGCCCAUGAGGAAGAACAUCGAUCGGGGCUUUCGCUGAGCUCCUUUCGCGCGCGUGCGCUCGGCUCUGCUUUUAUGGUAGUGUGUGCGUGCGCGUUUGGCGUUGUGGCUGCGCCUGCGGCAUUUUAUAUACCCGACCGACUACACGUCACGUACCUGAAAUGCUUUCAUCCAUCCAUCAGUCACUUAUACAGGAACUACUAG